rnacentral:rRNA from 1 species
GGAAUGGUGUCGUGCAUCAUCGUUCAAGGUGAUUGCUAGGCAUCUUGCUUCUUAUAAUUAAAAACGACUCUCGGCAACGGAUAUCUUGGCUCACGCAUCGAUGAAGAACGUAGCAAAAUGCGAUACUUGGUGUGAAUUGCAGAAUCCCGUGAACCAUCGAGUUUUUGAACGCAAGUUGCGCCCAAGGCCUUUUGGUUGAGGGCACGUCUGCCUGGGCGUCACACAUCUUGUCACCUCCCAACACACCUUUUAACAGGGAUGUUGUAUUGGGUGGCGGAGAUUGGUCUCCCGUUCCUAAGGUUCGGUUGGCUUAAAUAGGAGUCCCUUUCGAUGGACACACGAUUAGUGGUGGUUGACAAGACCCUCUUAUUGAGUCGUGUGUAAAAAGGAGUAAGGAAAGAUCUCUUAAACACCCUAAUGUGUCGUCUUGUACGAUGCUUUGAUCGCGACCCCAGGUCAGGCGGGACUACCCGCUGAGUUUAAGCAUAUCAAUAAGCGGAGGA